CGAGUCGGCCGGGCGGUCGCGUCGGGGCCGGCGUGAGCCGGCACCCGCCGAGGAAAGUCCGGACUCCGCACGGCAGGGUGGUGGGUAACGCCCACCCGGGGUGACCCGCGGGAAAGUGCCACAGAGAACAGACCGCCGGUUCCGGAGCCGCGAGGCGCCGGAUCGGUAAGGGUGAAACGGUGCGGUAAGAGCGCACCAGCGCCCGGGGUGACCCGGGCGGCUCGGUAAACCCCACCCGGAGCAAGGUCAAAAGGCGUCCGGCCGCGAGGCCGGCCGCCGCGCGGGCGAUCGAGGGCUGCCCGCCCGAGUCCGCGGGUAGACCGCACGAGGCCGUCGGCAACGGCGGCCCUAGAGAGAUGACCGCCGCCGGCGGCCGCGAGGCCGCCGGGCACAGAAUCCGGCUUACAGGCCGACUCGUCCC
rnacentral:RNase_P_RNA from 1 species